rnacentral:rRNA from 1 species
UACGUAGGUGACAAGCGUUGUUCGGAUUUACUGGGCGUAAAGGGCGCGUAGGCGGCAAUUCAAGUCAUCUGUGAAAUCUCCGGGCUUAACUCGGAACGGUCAGGUGAUACUGCUUUGCUAGAGUGCGGAAGGGGCAAUCGGAAUUCUUGGUGUAGCGGUGAAAUGCGUAGAUAUCAAGAGGAACACCUGAGGUGAAGACGGGUUGCUGGGCCGACACUGACGCUGACAGCGCGAAAGCCAGGGGAGCAAACGGG